rnacentral:misc_RNA from 1 species
CUAAGUUCAGCGGGUAUCCCUACCUGAUCCGAGGUCAAACGUGAGAAGGAGUCUUGAUGGAGUGCCGCCCUCUUGCUGAUUGCAAGCGCAAAAAUGUGCUGCGCUGCGUAACCAGGAGGCCGGCUGCCAAUCGUUUUAAGGCGAGUCUUUGGCAAACCAAAGACAAAAACGCCCAACACCAAGCAAAGCUUGAGGGUACA